AUACGGAGGGUGUAAGCGUUACUCGGAAUCACUGGGCGUAAAGCGCGCGCAGGCGGGCUGAUAAGUUGGAUGUGAAAGCCUACGGCUCAACCGUAGAACUGCAUCCAAAACUGUCAGUCUAGAGUGUGGGAGAGGAAGAUGGAAUUAGUUGUGUAGGGGUAAAAUCCGUAGAGAUAACUAGGAAUACCAAAAGCGAAGGCAAUCUUCUGGAACACUACUGACGCUGAGGCGCGAAAGCGUGGGUAGCAAACAGGAUUAGAAACCCCAGUAGUCC
rnacentral:rRNA from 1 species